GAAGACAGUGGUGGGAGGGGUGGUGCUCAGCCAAGAACAAGCUCAAAAUCCAUUCCAAUCCCAUCCUAAUUCACAGCGUGCAGGGUGGUCAGACUGAGACUCUAAGAAGUUAUCCAGGCUGCAAGAUCUCUACCCGUCUAGGCAAGUAACUUACGCCCAGCACGGGAAGGCUUCGGAGCUGAGCCAGGAAUGCUGUCAACAGGAAUCUUUCCCAUCCCUGCCUUCCAGACUCCCGAUGAGCUUUUGCAGGGAUAUCUCCCUCAUCUGGAUUAGGACCAAAUGUCCUGGAUACCGUCAGCGGCCACUUCCGGAGACUCGGUGGCAGGGCCUGCGCCCCCCCUGCCCCGCCUGCCCGCUGGGACACUUACCCAGGAAAUCGCAGAGCGGCGGGUCCAGCACCCUCAGGAGCAGCAGGAGCUGUCCGAGCUGUCGCUUCAUUGUCUCCUGACUCUCCUCGAAGUUCCCGUGCUGCGGGAGGGAUGGCCACAUGAGGAACCAGACCCCCACCCUUUGAGGGGGCCUGUCUCCCGCCUGCCUCGGGCCUCACCACGAGCUCCAUGAAGCCACAGAAACACCAGAAGGCAUCCACCUCGUUCUGAAUGACGUAGAGGAUCGGGGAGAGAAGGUCACUCAUGCCCUGGACGUAGCCUGGGGUGGGACAGGAGGUCAGGGCCCAGCCCAGGCCCCCAGCACCCCCCAAGGGAAGGCCCGGCCCCCAAGCCCUCCCCGGGCUGGCGUCGCACCGAGGUCAAAGUGGUACAUGCAGUAGGUGAGGAGGAUGUCACUCAGCAGGCCCAGCCCCGGGUUCUCAGGACCCUCAUAGAAUUUGUUGGUCCGAUCAGUACGGCUCACGUCUCUCUCUGUGAAGACAGGGUGCAGGAUGCGAAAGUGAGAAGGCUGUGGGGGCCCGUCCCUCCUGGCCACGGGCACCAGCCCCCACUCCUCUCUUCGGCAGACCCCAGGAAGGUGUGAGUCGGUCCAGAAAGCACCUCAGACGCCCUCGCAUGAGGCACUCUGCCUCACGCUUGCCGGAUCGCCACAGCCUCCCAGCAACCGACAGAGAGCACCAGGGCGGGGACCAGGACACGCAGCAGGGGCACGUGUACCAGGAAGGAGGAGAAGCGGGCCCCACUGGGUAAGGAAGCCCGCUGCAGGGUGAUGGUGGCUGCGACAUGAUGCUGCUGGAAAGAACACAGUGAUGCCCGCCGGAGACGAGCCUGCCUGCUCACUGCCGUCCCCGUGUGUGACAGCGGGUGCCCAGCACGUGGCCGGCUCGACUGACGCUUGCGGGGCGAGCCCAUCUGUGCACCUGUGAUGUGUCAGGUACCGUGCCAGGAUGGGGACAUGUUUGACUUGGGAGGCUGGAGCGGGACGGGGCGGCCACAGCUUCUCUC